GCAUAUCAAUAAGCGGAGGAAAAGAAACCAACCGGGAUUGCCUCAGUAACGGCGAGUGAAGCGGCAAGAGCUCAAAUUUGAAAGCUGGCUCCUUCGGAGUCCGCAUUGUAAUUUGCAGAGGAUGCUUUGGGUGCGGCCCCCGUCUAAGUGCCCUGGAACGGGCCGUCAGAGAGGGUGAGAAUCCCGUCUUGGGCGGGGUGUCCGUGCCCGUGUAAAGCUCCUUCGACGAGUCGAGUUGUUUGGGAAUGCAGCUCUAAAUGGGUGGUAAAUUUCAUCUAAAGCUAAAUACUGGCCGGAGACCGAUAGCGCACAAGUAGAGUGAUCGAAAGAUGAAAAGCACUUUGAAAAGAGAGUUAAACAGCACGUGAAAUUGUUGAAAGGGAAGCGCUUGCAACCAGACUCGCCCGCGGGGUUCAGCCGGCAUUCGUGCCGGUGUACUUCCCCGUGGGCGGGCCAGCGUCGGUUUGGGCGGCCGGUCAAAGGCCCCUGGAAUGUAGUGCCCUCCGGGGCACCUUAUAGCCAGGGGUGCAAUGCGGCCAGCCUAGACCGAGGAACGCGCUUCGGCUCGGACGCUGGCAUAAUGGUUGUAAACGACCCGUCUUGAAACACGGACCAAGGAGUCUAACAUCUACGCGAGUGUUCGGGUGUCAAACCCGUGCGCGCAGUGAAAGCGAACGGAGGUGGGAGCCCCCUCGUGGGGCGCACCAUCGACCGAUCCUGAUGUCUUCGGAUGGAUUUGAGUAAGAGCGUAAAUGUGGGGACCCGAAAGAUGGUGAACUAUGCCUGAAUAGGGCGAAGCCAGAGGAAACUCUGGUGGAGGCUCGCAGCGGUUCUGACGUGCAAAUCGAUCGUCAAAUUUGGGUAUAGGGGCGAAAGACUAAUCGAACCAUCUAGUAGCUGGGUUCUGCC
rnacentral:rRNA from 1 species